AUUCUAAUUUCUGUUUUUGCUCAGAAAAGAAAAAAAGUUACGAUAUACUGAUAAUAGUUGUGGUAGCCCUGGUAGUGCUGGUUGUGCUGCUGGUUUGCACGUGCAUAUGUUGUAAGAAAUCAUCAAACACAACUGGACAAGGUGACCAGAGCGAAAAAAAUCGAACAAACCAAAUGAAAAUGUGGUUAAGUGAAA